UAUCUCUCUCCUCGGUUAACACAAUUAUAUAUAUAUAUAUAUAUAUAUAUAUAUAUAUAUAUUUUGUUAACCGAGGAGAGAGAUA